GCCCGGCCCGGCCGCCGUCCCUGGGGCGGGCUGAGGGUUCCGUCCGCCCCGUGGGGAACUCGACUUUCCUGUUAAAAUAACCCGACUGUGCUGUCAAAACAGAGCUGGAAAACGCCGCCGCCGCGCUGGAGCCAGGCGGUGGUGACGGAGCGGACUCGAAACCUGCCGGGCUGCUGCGCCUCCCGCCCGCCCGGGCCGACAGCGCUGAGCCCGAGCGCAUCCUCUGCCAGCCCCUUCCACAAGGGCAGGGGCUCAUCCGCCGCCCUCCCACCGGGCCGUGACAAGAGGAAGCACGUGGAACAGGAGUCUUGCGUCCCCGAGGUAAUAAAGUGUAUUAUUACUGAAAACAGUAGGAGACUCUCAUCUGCAAUUUUCAGCACAACCAGCUACUUCUAAGCUCACACUGUGAACUGCUCUGACUUUGCUUGCAGCCAGCUGGGACUUCUUUCCACAAGGACUGAUCUGGAAUACACUGGACAGAAGAAGUCAGAGGUACUGCAGAUCUAUGUUGGUUCUUCAAGUCUUAUUCAAUCCACAGGUGUAAAGCUCAUAGGAUUUGCAGUAUAACAUAAGAAAGAGCAGGCUAAUAGUAGAGAGCAAUCCCAGUCCCCUGUCUGAGGAAGGUGAAGCAAUCAGGAAGGAGGGGAAACUCAGGACACCAACAAAAAUGAUGAAAGGAAGAGUUUUACUCUGCAGUUGAUAACUGCUUUUUAAUCUAUAUCUAUUUACAACAUAGUAAGACAUUUAUAACUGCAACAUCCUAACAUGCUGGUAUGCUAAGAAACUACAGAACUUCUCAUUUCCUUUCUAAGUGAAUUUGACCUUUGUCACUACUCAGAUUAGUAUGUUUGGCUUACUUUAUAGGACAUUAACUUGUGUUCUCUCUCCUGUGUAUAGAGUGACAGCCUAUGUAAUGACCUGUCAGGUGUAUAAAUCCAAGGGCUUCCAUCCCCACAGGAAUAGGGCAUUACCUUCCUCCUCCCAGAUUUGCUGUUGGCAAUGUGCAGUAGUGCAGGACUCACACCUCACCUCACUGCUGAUCCCUUACAUGGCUGCUAUGCUUCUUCCACUUCUUAGCCUGGGGAAUGGCAAGGACAGCCAUGUGUCCUGCGGUUUGAUUGAUGCCCCUCCUCGCUUCUGCAACAUCUAUGAGUUCAGCUGCAGACACAUUAUCUACUGUAUAUUUUAUUAUAACACCAAAGUGAAUGCAUUGUAGAACACUGGCAUUUAAAAAGAAAAGCUUUAAAUUGUUUAAUACAAUUAAAAGUGUAUUUGUACAGUGUCUUGUUGACAAAAACAUGUAAGUUGGUCUAGCUCAGAAUUUUAAAACUCAAUGGUUUCUCAAAGGUAGAAAAAAGCUCAGAAAGCUAACAGUUACAACCACAGUUUUUUUCACAUAUUUUUUGUUAAUUUUGCAUAUUUCCUCACCUUCUCAAUAAACAUGUUUUCCUCUUUUAAGAAGAUCUUGGGUUUGCCUUUAACUCAGAAGAAUUAAAAAAACAGAAUAGGCAUUGAGUUUAACCUACAGUAUUAUAAAGUACCAUUAUGAACUCCUUUUCAUUGUUCCCCCCCUAACCUCAGUAAAUCUUCUUCAUUUGAAUCUUUCAGGACUGAAGUUAUUCUCACAAUCUCAUGACUUCUGUCAUUCACAAUUACUAAUGAGUAUGCUCACUCAGUCCUUGACUUUGUUUCUUUAAAGGGAACUCUAUGAAAUGGUAUCUGUAUUAGAAGAUCAGGAAGGACUAAUUUCCCAAUACUUUAACACACAGUGGCUGUGGCUGUUCUGAAAACCUGACAGAACUGCAGCAUUUUUGCAUGUACAAAAGGGCUUGGAAGUGAACAAUUUACUGCUUUUUGAUUAUUGAGAAAAGUAUUACUUUUUCAAUAACAAUGAGGCCCUUAAAUGCUGCAUAAAGCAAUACCAAGUAUAUGCAUACACACUUCUCAUUAGUAAAUCCUUCAUAUAUUUCCUGACAGUAUCCAAGGAAAGUCUAAAUGAGAAUUUUAAAUCAUACUCCCAUGAGUCUCUUCUAAAUUCGAAAUUGCACAUCUGCACAGCAAAUCCACAUUAACAAUAUUCUUCAGUGUAAUGAAGUACAAAAUUGAUAUAUAUAUAUGUAAAUUAUUUCACUUGCAGAAUUACAAUGACAUACUUUGUGUUCUUUCUGUACAAGAAACAUCCAUGAGUCACUCAUUAACAGCGGUGAGGCCACUUAUGUCAAUGAUAUACAGGCAGCUUGAAAGAAGCUGGCAUUUUAAGUGGCAUGUUUAGAGUUUGUCUAUGGUACUAGAAAAUGUUGUAUUCUUCCUGUAUUUCUUAAUAAUUAGCUACAGGAAGGUAAGAUAUAUUUUAUGUUUAUAUUUUACCUUUCACAUGAAAAAACCAAUGCACUGCAGCCAGGAAUAGCUGUGCCACCUCAUACACUGUUUGACCUUGUCUUUGCUGCUGUUGAUCUUUCUGCAGCAUUCCUUUGGUUUGUGAAUACACAAGGCAAAAGUGGACCUUAGUGAGGUUAAGACUGAAGAGCCCUUACUGAUCUCCUCAAGAUAUGGUGUUCUCCCUUUGUGAUCACACUGGCAAUCACUUGAAGAACUACUCAAUUCUCCUCUUGAGCUUUUGUGACUUCUAAAAGUGUAAAACAGUAAAAACACACCAUAGAAUCUUCAGAAAAUGUGAAAUGCAUAAAUACAUAUAUAUUGGCAUUUAGUAGUGAGACUCUAAACAGAAGACCACUUUAUGAAACCUUUCUCCCCAAAAAGCUUGCUUUAUUCAUGUCUUCAGUACCCCAAGUUUCAUUAUUUGUAGCCUGAAGCUUAGAGUGAUAUUUGGUUUUUGGUUUGGUUUUGUUUUUUUUUUUUUUUUUUUUGUUGGUUUUUUUUUUAAUGUAGUUUUCAUUUGGUGAAAAAUGUUUUGUAACAGCUAAUGUUGCUGUCAAAUCUCCUGUACAGUGCAGUACAUUGCCUUUCACUUCAGUGAUCUGAUAUGGCCUUUUACUUGGUGAGGGAGAUAUAUACUGACUGGCAUCCUUUUUUACAAGAUAUUAGUAAAGAUGUUUUGAUUUAUUAAAUUCAGAUUUCUUUGGCUCUUGGUGAUUCUUUGGUUUCAGCAGACAGUAUCAUAACUAGUUGAUUCUAAGGUAAAAAUCAACAAUUACUAGAUCACUCAGGCUUGCAAAUUAACAGCUAACAAUUAACAGACUUUUAAAAUUUCCAUUCAUAUACAGAGUUUUACAUUCAUUUCACAUAACUGAAAUUAAAGCUACUUUUGAAGUCAUGAAAGGACUGGUGGAUAGUACAUUAACUGUCCACUCCUUCCCCAUGAAUUUAUAAAAUAUUCUGUGAUCCCUGACAGCUGAAGAUGUUGAGCUGGACUUUAUCUCUUGAGAUAAAGAGAUGAGAGUAGUGGGGGGCCCUGACAGGUCCACCCAUCACGUUCCAGCAGGCUGCUCUCAGGAUACAGCUCUGCACCACAACAGAGCUGGGAGAGCCAGGAGGGCUGCUCUGGCAUGGAGCUGCUGUGCAAAAUAUCCUCUGGUGGAUUACACAAUGCAUGGUUGAGAGUGAUCUUGUUUGGCAUGUAGAGGUCCUGUCCUACUGCAAAUGCUAAAUAGUGAUGACUUCCAAAUGCACCAGUCAGUUUUCACAUGUCAUCUGUCCUACGUGAACAGGGCACAUUUUCUGCCAUGGUGCAGUAGUCAGUAUCCUGGAAAAGACUGAGCCUGGCUCUCUUCACCACUGCAAAGAUGUGUCUGGUUGGGUCAGUUCUUUGUGUAGACCUGGAAAGCUCCAUCUGGCCUUGAAGAAGUUCUGCUGACAGCUCACCUGCUGGCACUGAACACUGAUUAGGCUACUGAUGUAUAGCCUGUUACUUGAAAUUCAUAUGAACAGCUGUUGAAAUAGUCAUUAUGCAGUAUUAUCUACCGGAAUGUAUUUGUCCUUUUUAUGUAAAUUCUGAAUUGUUCAGUAAGUCUGUUUCUCUUUUAUAAACUGUGAUUUUCAUGUUGAGCAUAAUAAAAAAUACUAUUUUUUUGUCUACUCUGAAAUGUCAAAUUAUAUGUAAAUAAAAAUGUACACUCCAUAUUCAGAUCAUGAAUUGUCAUACUGCCAGUCUAUUCCAAUAAAGAAUAUUAUUUUAUAGUUGAA